CCCGAGUGCCGCGCCCGGCGCUGCGGCUGGGGCUGCCCGCCGCUCCCCUGCCCUCCCUCACGGGCGGGCUGGUGUGCGCGGGGGUGGAGAGGGGGGGGUCUCUGCCCGUGCGGCGCGGCUCCGCUCUCGCCCCACCACCGCCGACGCCGACGCACGGGCGGCUGCCCGACCGACCGUCCCCGGGCUGGGGGCCGCCACCCUCGGCCGCGCCGCAGAAACCCAACAGGCAGGAGAGAGGCUUAAGCUGUUUGCUCUGGAACAGAAAAAUUCAUAUGUAAAAAUAAAAUUCUGCAGACCUGAGUCAUUGCAAGUGAGAUGAAUACCCAUAAAAAAGUACAAAUCACAAAAAAACCCCAGAAACAGGAUCAUUGUGUGUAUUUGCAACAAUGCUUACAGAUUCAUCAUGGCUCACAACAAAGGGUGCUGAGACGUAAGGUAGUGAUGAUGUAUCAACUAUCAAGAAAAUUGCAGAUAUGGCUAAUGUGGUCAGUUAAGUCUUUUUUCUUUCAAGAGUGACAAACUCGCAUGGGAGGAUUACAGAAAAAGAAUCAUAGAAUAUCUUGAGUUGGAAGGGACCCUUAAGCUUAGGUCAUUGAGUCCAACUCCCUGCUCCUCACAGGACUACCAUAUGACCAAGAGCGUCGUCCAGAUGGUCCUUGAACUCUGACAGUCUUGGCGCCGUGACCACUUUCCUGGGGAGCCUGUUCCAGUGACCGGCCACCCUCUCAGUGAAGAACAUUUUCCUAAUGUCGUCUGAAGUUCCCCUGAUGCAGCUUCAUUCCAUUUCCUUGUGUCCUAUCACUGUUCACCAGAGAAAGGAGGUCAGCACCUCCGGCUCUACUGCCCUCCUUGAGAAAGUUGUAGACUGCAAUGAGAUCAACCCUCAGCAUUCUCUUCUCCAAGCUGAACAAACCAAGUGACCUCAGCCACUCCUAAUAAGUCUUGCCCCCAAGACCUUUCACCAUCUUGGUCGCCCUCCUCUGGACACUCUAAUAGUUUGAUCUUCUUCUUAUAUUGAGGAUAAUAAUAUAAAUGUGAAAUCACUAGAGCUAAUCUGUACACUGGUGUGUUACGAUAAGGAUGUUCUUUCUUAGGAUUCUAAUGGAGCAGCUAACUCCAUCUGGAUAGAGCCUUACUCCUGGCAUAAUUUCAUUGACUUCAGUAGGCUGUCGUUAAGGAAAUAGAUGUUCCAGUUAUGGAAAUGUGUUUUACAUUUAUAAAAUUUAUAAUUUUAGUCUAGUAAAAGUAGUUUGAAUACAUUUCAGUCUACUUUAUUGAUUUCAGGAUGAUUUACUCCGGGAACCAAAGGUUAUGUGAUGAAUAUGCCAACAAACCCUGUCUGUCAGUAACAAAACCACUUUUACUAUCUGUCAUCUAAUGUGCCACAUUGUUUUCCAAGUUCAAAUAACAGACUGGUAAAUUAAGAAUACAGUACACAUAAGAAAAAGUAUAGGAAAGAUUUAUUUUUUUAAUUAGAACGUUAUAGUCCUAAUCUAACAUCAUGCACAAACAGUAAAGCUAAAUUUUUAAAAUUUGCAAAGAGUUAAAACAUGCAAGAGUUAAAAUUCUUAAAGCAAAAAUAUCUUGGCUUAGUUGCACAUAUAUUUCACUUUAAAGUAAAUGUGUUAACAAAAAGUGGGGCUAUAAAGUUUGGCUAAAUGUACAUGGCAAUAGAAUUGUAUUUCCAGCCUACUUUACUAUUAACUCUAAACUGCCCCCCACCCCCCAAUUAUUUUAUUGUGCUUUUUGAAGAAUUUACCAUUUUAUGAAGAUGAAACACCUGGUAGGACUUUUAACAAUUUAAGAAAACACACAUAAGAUGAUGAUGCUAGAAAAUGAAUAUGUUAAAACUUUAUUCGAUUGUUAGUAUCUAACUGUACUAGUGCUAAUGCAGGCAGUAAUCACAUGUAGUCCAAUGAAAUUCAAAGAUACUAUUCUUUAUCAAAGACUGAAAGAUUUGACUCAGUUAUGUAAAUUCUCAUUCAUUUGAAUAGUCUUUAUUCAUAUACAUGAUCUUAUUCAACACAAUUUUUUGCAAACAAUCGAAACACUGAAGUGCUGCAAAAAGAGUAUCUUCUGUUUUCUUGUGCUUUUCCACAAUUUUCUAUACAGUAAAAAAUUCCAAAGAAACUCUUCAAAAUUUAGUAUUAUGUA